GUAGGUGGCAAGCGUUGUCCGGGAAUUAUCGGGGCGUAAAGCGCGCGCAGGCGGUUCUUUAAGUCUGAUGUGAAAGCCCACGGGCUCAACCGUGGAGGGUCAUUGGAAACUGGAGAACUUGAGUACAGAAGAGGAAAGCGGAAUUCCACGUGUAGCGGUGAAAUGCGUAGAGAUGUGGAGGAACACCAGUGGCGAAGGCGGCUUUCUGGUCUGUAACUGACGCUGAGGCGCGAAAGCGUGGGGAGCAAACAGGAUUAGAUACCCUGGUAGUCCACGCCGUAAACGAUGAGUGCUAAGUGUUAGGGGGUUCCGCCCCUUAGUGCUGCAGCUAACGCAUUAAGCACUCCGCCUGGGGAGUACGGCCGCAAAGGCUG
rnacentral:rRNA from 1 species